rnacentral:lncRNA from 1 species
AUCGCUUUAAAGAGAAAGGCAUCCGGUCAAAAAUAUUCAAGUACUUUCGACUACUAAAAUACCAGAACUCCUCAUUUUUAUAGGUACUCAGUUGGUAUAGCUAGGAGAAAAGUGCUACACUUGGUUCAAUGUGAUUAUUAAGACACACGAACCGAUAAACAAAAGAUUCUCCAGUUGUUGGGAUGAAGUUGGGCUACCAAAAGCUUGUGAAACUGGAGGACCUACAUGGAAAAAAGGG